GAAGAAGAAGAAGAAGAAGACAUCAAACAUUUCAGUUUAUUCAAAAACCAAAAUAAAAAGUACCACAAAUAUAUGAAUUUGCCUUAAAGAAAAUAAACCAACAAAUAUUAAGAAUGAAACUUAAAUAUGCCAAAUAUUCAAAAUUGGUCAACAUUCUAAUAGAAGAAUAAAUCCAAUUACCUCUUCACCCUGGAUCAACUUACUGGUAGAAAGAGGGUUGGGUUUGGGUUAAUACAAAUGUUGGGGAGAGAUGAAGA
rnacentral:misc_RNA from 1 species